rnacentral:rRNA from 1 species
AACGAACGCUGGCGGCAUGCCUAACACAUGCAAGUCGAACGAGACCUUCGGGUCUAGUGGCGCACGGGUGCGUAACGCGUGGGAACCUGCCCUUAGGUUCGGAAUAACUCCCCGACAGGGGUGCUAAUACCGGAUAAUGUCUUCGGACCAAAGAUUUAUCGCCUUUGGAUGGGCCCGCGUUGGAUUAGCUAGUUGGUAGGGUAAAAGCCUACCAAGGCGACGAUCCAUAGCUGGUCUGAGAGGAUGAUCAGCCACACUGGGACUGAGACACGGCGCAGACUCCUACGGGAGGCAGCAGUGGGGAAUAUUGGACAAUGGGCGAAAGCCUGAUCCAGCAAUGCCGCGUGAGUGAUGAAGGCCUUAGGGUUGUAAAGCUCUUUUACCCGGGAUGAUAAUGACAGUACCGGGAGAAUAAGCUCCGGCUAACUCCGUG